AAAUUGUAUGUUUAAAUACAGAUAUUGCCGUCUAGACAAUAUCCACACGCAAAUAAAUUCCCAUCAUAAUUAUUGAUACAUUAUUUUACAAAAAUGGUGAGGACUACUAAACAACUCUCUCUAGAACCUUCAUUCCAUACCCCGACUCGUACUCGCUACAUUCUCGCCUCCUGAGAAGAAAAAUAGAACAAAAAGGAAAAGGGUGAGCUCAACUAGCCCAGUAAAGAAUAUUAUGACUAAGAUAAUAUACAACAAAUUAUCGUUAGUCUUCAACAGGGAAAAAUCUAAUAGAAUACAAUAGACAACAAGUUUUAAAUCAAUAUUCGCAGCGGAAAUAAUAAUUCAUUAGAAGAGUUAAGUAGAGAAUGCAAACUACUAUCUUCUAUGUAUGAAUUUAAAAGUUCAUCGUCUAUCUUUUAUCCCUGUAACAUCAAUCAAUAUAUAUCUGGAAUCAAAUAUUCAUCUUUGCACUACAGGCCAAAGAUAUUCAUCAGUUGGUCAUGUUCAUCUAAACACCUGUUCAUCUUUGCACUACGGGCCAAAGAUAUUCAUCAGAAAUCAUUCAUCUUUGCACUACAGGCCAAAGAUAUUCAAUAAUAUCAUCAUUUAAGACUGAGGAUGAUGAAAAAAAUUUUUUUUAAAGAAACGAAUCCAGUGAAACAAAAUGACAAGGAUUAAGGAUUAAGGAUUCGUACUUUGUUUUAUCCACGUCCAAAAAUACCUCAAAAAUAAUCAUAGUGGUGUAAAAUUCAAGAAUGAUCAAAACAUGGAUACAAUCAAAGCUAGUAUCCACAAUAGAUAUUUUGGACGAAAAGAAAAAUUUUCAUUUUUCGAUGAAUAGUGCCGUAUUCGUGAAUAGUACCGUAUACGUGAAUAGUGCCGUAUACGUGAAUAGUAACUCCGACACCAAAAGUUCCAAAUUUGAUAAAAACUUCAGAUCAAUAUUUCAGCAUAAUGAUAUUGAAGAAAUAAUAUCAUUACGAAAAAAAAUAAUAUCCCUUACCUCGGAAAGACAGUACUUCUAACUGGAAUACUGGAUAUAGGCUAUAACUUGAACUUUCACCGUAUAGCAAUACUCAAAGUAUACUCAAAAUACUCACAAGAAUACGCUCGAUAAUAUAGAGAGAGAAAACUUCAGUUUCUGGUGUGAUUUUCAAUUCUAACCUAAGCACCUAUUUAUAGGAAAUUGCUUAGAACACCAAAGCAGAAAAUUUAAUAUAAUAUUAAUAUAUAUAAAAAUAUUAUACGUAUUCCUUGAAAUCUUAAUCUCAGCAAUUCACACAUGCCAACCUUCUAGAAAAAAAUAAAAAAAACGUUUUUCUAAUUUAAAAUAUUUUAAACUUCCAAAAAUCAAUUAUUUCGGAGCUUCGGAACUUCAAUAAUUCAUAAUAAAUAGCCCUUUUAUCAGAAAAUUCGAAUCUCGCGAGUUUUUAUAGGAAAUUCAAUUCUCUACAACUUUGCAGAAGAAAGUUUUUCCAAAUUCCAAACAGAAAUUGACCGAAAUCCACAAACGGGCGAUUUUAGAGGCUAUAAUCAAAUUUCAGUCAAUAAAUGGGGUCCACCGACAUGUUUAACAUGUUUUAAACAUUUAUUGCAACAAAAAUACUCUUCCUCCUCGUAUACUCAUAUAUCCCACAUUCGUUGUAAAAAUAUCACCAUUAUUAUAUUAUUAAAAUAUAAUAAUAUAUAUAUUUAAAUGAAUUAUUUUAUCAGAAAAAGAUAAAAUUUCAAUUUUCAACAAUUGUCACAUUAAAAAUUUUCUCCAUCUAUAUCCACAUAAAAUCAAUAUUUUCCUCAUCAUAUGAAUCAAUAAUUAAUUAUUCACAAAUAAUAUUACAGAAUCACAAUAUUGACAACCAGGCAGUUCCCAGGAAAGAGGGGGCUUUCCAAUAAGAAUUUCUCCUUACUGGCGCGCAAUUAGGUGACCAAACCUCUCCUUAGACAGAACUUUCUAGACAUUGCCAAUAAUGUUAUCUAAUAAUAUUAUUCAGAUAAUAUGAAUUAUUGCUUCGAUAAUGAAAAAUACUGUGUAAUGACAAUUAUUGAAACAACAGCAAUAUAAAAUAUCAACGCAGCAAUUAUUGAAUCAAUAAAAUAAAAUACUGAACAGUAAUUACUGUAACCAUUAUUGAGUAGUGCCUUCUUACGUAAGAGUCAAUAAUUGGUGCAAUACCGUGUGCUACUGUGCAACAACGCGUAUUACUGUGUUUUAACCACCGGGUAUUCCAACAGUGUAAACGGUAACAACUACGCCGUUAUUUUUAAACAACUUAUAUUUGUCGUUUUCUUCCUCCAAUCGCUUUCCGUUAUGGGGCCCACACAUGGCUGCGCCGUCGUACGAAUAUUCCCCGACAGUACGAAUAUUCCACGACCAAACGAAUAUUUCCCGACAAUAAUGAAUAUUUUAUAACCACUUGCUUAUUCGAAAUAUUUGCGUAUUUUACCCAUAACUAUCCACAUUAAUCAAAUCAACCCUUACUAUUUCAAAAUAAUAAAUAGAGGAAAAUAAAUUUUAUUUAUUAAUAAUUUGGGGUCUUACAUUUUGGGCCAAUUUUAAUCUCUUGAGAAUAUUAAAAAUAGCAUGGCUUAAAAGUAAAAAAUAUAUUUGUUUAAAAAUGAUGUUAAACAUAUGCCCAUCUUUAUUGUUAUAUUAAUAUAUUUAAUAUGUUUUGAUAUUAAGAUUAGUCCUUGCAAAGUAUUAACAACUAACAUAUGGUGCUCUAGUGGUUAGAUGACUAAAGUUUCAUGUUUAAGGUUGCGAGUUCAAAUCUAUGAAGUGACAAUUUUUUUGGAAAAAUUUUUAAAGAAGUCGCGUCACAUGUGGCGCCUUGGGGUUCGAAGUCCAAAUUUUUGAAUAGAAAGGGGUUCAAUUUGCGUUAGCCGGAAGAAAGGGACUCAAUACCCAAAUUUCACUAAAGUUCAGUGGUCAACUUUACAUUUAACCUCAUCACAUGUGGGCUCCACCUCUUAUAAUGAAUAACUUUCUCCGAUUAUUUUAAAAAAUGGAUAAAUGGGGGUCCAAAUAAUAAGCAACAUUAACAACAAAUACUUCAUAAAAAUUUUCUCAAUAUUUUUAACAAUAUUUAUUUAUCAAUAAUAUAACUUACAAUAUUAACAACCAGAUCAUUCCCAAGAAAAGGGGGUUUUCCGAUAAGGAUUUCUCCCUAUUGGCGCGCAAUUAAAUAACCUAACUCCUUUCCUCGACAGAAUUUUCUAAAUAUUGUCAAUAAUACAAAUAAUAAUAUGAAUAACUUGUCAUUUCAAAUAUUGAUUUAAUAAUAUAAAUUCUGUGACAAUAAUUGAAUCAAAUAACAUGAGAUACUAUGCAGCAAUUACUGUAGCAAUAAUUGAGUAUAACUGAGUGACUUCUCACGUAAGCAUCAAAUACCAUGUGCUACUAUGCAACCACGCGUAUUACUGUACUUUUAUCACCGGGUAUUUCAACAGUUAACAGUAAAAUUUCCGCCGUUAUUUUCAUAAAAAGUUACUUCUGUCGUUUUCUAACUCCGACAGUAAUUCUGUUGUGGGGUCCACCAAUGAUUGCGCCAUUGUACGAAUAUUUCAUGUUAAAACGAAUAUUCCCCGACCAAUCGAAUAUUUUAUAACAACUUGCUUACUUUGCAAAAUUUAUAAAUAUUACCCACAACUAUAACAUUAUAUCAAAUUCACACCUUAAUACUCAAAAAAAUAUUUAAAGAAAAUUAAAUCUUUAUUCAUAAAAGUUGAGGUCUUACAAAAUGUAUUUCAUCCAUAAUUUAUACAUAUUAAAUUAAAAGUUUAGAGAUGUAUUUGGGCUUUAAAGCUUUAGAAAUUAGGGUUAUGUUUGUUUGGAAGGAUUAUACUUGGGACAUGAUUAUUAAUCCCAAGUGUCUUGUUUGUUUUCAAAUUUAUAAUUGGGACUAUUAGUUUAAGGAUUAUAAAAUGACUUAAUAGUCUUGUAAUUAUAAUUAUAAUUCCGGGAUUAUAAUCCUAGGAUUAAUAGUCUUGGGAUUAUAAUCUCAUGUAGUAUAAUCUCGAUUAUAAUCCUUGCAAUCAAACAUAGCCUAGGAGUUUAAAAGUUUUUGAUUUAGUUGAGUGAGCCACUUGUAUAAGUCAGAAAAAACAAAAAAAAAUUUACUUUUAGUUCACUUUGAUAAGAUCGUACGAUCACACACCAAUCCUACGACCUUACGAUUCUAUACGAUCCUAUGUGAUUUUAUGUGAUUCUAUGCAUGUUUGCGAAUUGUUUUCCUUUUAUGGGAUUGUGAUACUAUGUAAUCCAACUAUCCGGAUUGAGAUUUUAACAACCAUGGUUGAAUCUAUACUUCACUAAAGCAUAUCAUAGAGAAAUUCUUGAUUAUUCCUAUUACCAUAAUUUUUGUUUAUGAAACAAGAAAUCUUUCUUCCAUAGUUUGUGUUAGGAGGGACUAUUCCCUAAUAAUUUAUGUUUCUUGAUGUGUGUGCACAAUACCAAAUAGAAAUCAUGAAAUACUCCUGCAUCUAGCUAAAUAGCUAAUCAGUGCCAUGUUGUACACUUAGAGCUAUUUGGCUAUUUUGUCACCAUAAGGUUCAUGAGUAUUAAUCAAGUACUAUGUUAUUCCCGUAACUAUUCUUUUUGUGUAAUUUAUCCUCAAAUUUUAUAAAUUCUGCAAACUCAGUCUAACCUUAUAAAAUUAGAUCAAUUAAAGGGGACUAAAACAUGAAAAACAAUUAUAGAUUAAGAACUAAGUUUAAAAAAAUUAUAUUUCGGUGACUAAACAUGAAGUUGCUAUAUUUUAAAGACUUACAUGAGAAAAAUAUAUAAUUUGACAACGAAAUACGCGAAAAAAAUAGUUAGUGGACUAAACGAAUAAAUUAUCCCAAUGAUUUAUCAUUUGUAAUUUUAAAAACAUUACAUACGGCAGAGGGAUGGAAUCGAAUCCUACAAUGCUACUAGUGUGGUGGGGAACUUACAUCCCACUAAGUUAUCUAUCAACAUGAUUCACAGUGCAACAGUGAUGCAGGCGUAAGCCCGUAUGAAAAGACUGAUCCGAAUUCGUGGAGAUUAAUUUGAUUGCGGUUGAGAAACUCUCGAUUAUCAAAAAAAAAAACAUUUACUAGAAUUGCAAAAUGUUCUUAUGACAAUAGACAUUAGACAAGAUAAGCCUGACUCUCCUUUCUCCUUUAAAUCCAUAAUAGACAAUUAACUUUUGUAGUGGAAAUAAUUUAAUUUUUUUUUAUGUGUUACUGAAUUUCAUGAUUUUCAUUUAAAUUUACUAAUAAAUCCCUUCCGAAAUAUAAAAUCAUAUGACUUAAUAUUUGAACUUAUAUUUUAAAACAAAAUGGAUGUUUUUUAUUAUAAAACUUCAUUUGCUACAUAAAUACCUAAAGUUUAUAUUUGAUUAGUUUUAUUUAAUUGUUUUUGUAAGAAUAUAUAGCAUACAUGUAGGGCUGUGAAUAAUUUUCAGUUUUUUCAAUUUUCCAGAUCGGACCGAACCGACUGGUUCGGUACAAAAAGAACUGGUCCGGUUUUGGUACAAAAAAACCGAUAUAUACCGGUUUUUCAAUACCCGUUUUUGGUACGGAGUUUUUAUGGUUCGGUAUUACUGAACCGAACCGAUAUAUACCGAUUUUCCAAUUUUUUUUAAUAAUAAUAAUAAUAAUAACAAUAAAAGUAAUAACAAUUAAAUAAUGAUUAUAAUAAUAAAAAUUAUAAUAAUAUUAAUAAUUAUUAUUAUUAUAUUAAUUUUCGAUAUUUAUUCGGUAAAAACUGGUUCCGAACUGAUCGGUUCUGUAUACCGGUCCAACCGGUACAGGUAUCGGUAUCAAAAUUUUGGCUAAUUUUGGUACCGAUCCAGUUCGGGCCGGUAUUUACCGGUUGGACACCCUUACAUACAUGCAACGGACUUGAACCGAAAAAAUUAAAUUUUUCUAGUUAUCUCUUGAAGCAUAUGCCCACAAACACGAACGAUUAGAAUCAUGAACUCAACGAACAAUUAUCUCAGCGAUAAUUUAGACUACGUUAGAACGAGUACCAAAUAAGUUUUCACAAUUCGUGUAACUACAAAGCUUUCAAGCUUUCAAAAUAGACUUCCAAAUAGCUUAUAGAUAAUAUAUGCAAGUUUGCUCGUGUUAUGUAUCAUAAGGAUCAGCACACUAUCUAUAUAUAUAUGAGGAGGAAGAGUGUAACUUUUAUAUAUAUAUAUAAAAUAAGGAUCUUAGGCUCACCCUAAAAAAGCUCACCCCAGCUCACCUAUAAAAAUUAAAUUUUUUUCUCUUUCCUCAGACAUAACGCUUUAUUUAACUACUCGACAUAACGAGAGCUCCUCACGCGAGAGACAACUUCUCCCCUUCUGCAAGCCCCAAGCUCUCCUCUCUCGCUCUCCCGAUCUCUCUUUCCCUCUCUUUUGACGAUCUUAGGCGCUCACUGGCUUCUCAACCCCUGCUCGCUCACUCGCCCCAAAUCUCAAAACCACGGAUUGGCCUAAUUUUUGCCCCAAAUCCGUCGCGACGGCUGGCCCUAAUUUUUACCUCUCAAAUGCAUCAUACGCAAGUUUGUCUUCUAUCUCUCUUUCAAUUAUCGAUCCUAACUGUAUUACAUAGAUCGAUUUAUUCAUGUUAUAUGCUAUAUGUCUGUUGUUUUCUUAAUUUUGAGUUUAGGAUCCGUAUGGCCAUAGCUUACACUCUUUUAUCUGUUAUUGGAACUGUAACAUAUAUUUACCUUAGAAUGGAGUCAUGGAAUUUUGAUCACAUAGUUUUUACCAUAGAAUAGAGUUUUGAUCACACAUUUAAUUACUUACACAUUUAAUUACUCCCAUUUUCGAAGCAAUGUCAAUUAAACUCAAAAUUAAGAAAACAACAGACAUAUAGCAUAUAACAUGAAUAAAUCGAUCUAUGUAAUAAAGUUAGGAUCGAUAAUUGAAAGAGAGAUAAAAGACAAAUUUGCGUAUGAUGCAUUUGAGAGAUAAAAAUUAGGGCUAGCCAUCACGACGGAUUUGGGGCGAAAAUUAGGGCAAUCUGUGAUUUUGAGAUUUGGGGCGAGUGAGCGAGCAGGGGUUGAGAAGCCAGUGAGCGCCUAAGAUCGUGAGAAGAGAAAAGAGAGAUCGGGAGAGCUUGGCACUUGCAGAAGGGGAGAAGCUGUCUCUCGCGUGAGGAGCUCUCGUUAUGUCUGAGAAGUUGAAUAACGCGUUAUGUCUGAGGAGAGAAAAAAAAUUGAUUUUUAUAGGUGAGUUGGGUUGAGCUUUUUUGGGGUGAGUCUAAAAUCGGGAUAAUAGACUUUUUAGUAACUGUACUAGGGUCCGAUUUUCAUUGUGGUUACCGAAACUUUUUUUGUUACAAUCGAAUAACUGUACUCUCAAAAAUUACAAAAUAGUCGUUAUUUUUAAUUUCCGUCCGAAAAAACAAACGGAAUGCUGACUGUGCAUAGUAGCCAUUAUUUUUGCUGAUGUGGACUGUUAUUUUUGCUGACGCGAACUGACGCGGAGGGUUAAAAAUUUCCUUAAAGAAAAAGUUACUCACAAGUAUUGAACGUGAGACCUCUCCAAACUAAAAACUUUAUAUUCCAACAAAAACCAUUAAACCAACUACCUACCAUGCUAAAAUUCAUGUAAUAUUAUUAUUUAAAUCAUCUAGCAUCGUUUUUGGUGGAAUUGUAAUAAUAAUAAUAAUUAUAAUAAUUAUUAUUGUAAUAAUAAUAAUAAAUUUUAAAUAAUUAAAAUAAUAAUAAUAAUAAUAAUAAUUAAAAUUUUAAAUAAUAAUAAUUAUUGUAAUAAUACAGUGACCGAAAAAGAGAUAAUACACUGUAUUAUUACAAUAAUAAUAAUAAUAAUUAAAAUACUAAUAAUAAUAAUAAUAUAUGCGUCUCACAUAUAUAUUCACGGAGGGAGUAUAAAGUUUAAACAGAGGUGUAGAGAGGUUCAUUUAGUAAGACUUGUUUUUUUUUUGCUAAAUAGUAAGACUUCUAAUUAAUAUCAGUUAAUUAAUUAAUCUCAUGCAUGGUCUAAGUUCAAUAUGUAAUGAGGUUGCCUCUUAAUUUGAACAACAGUUUAGUUUAGGCAAUUAGUAUUAAUUUAAACAAGUCAUUCUUAAUUUAAUUAUAUAUGAUAAAAAUCUUGUGAAAAAUAUAUGAAUUUAUUAGAGAAAUAUAUAGUGGCUUAAUUAGAGUUUUAGCAUAGUGAAAGGACAGGAAUGAAUUUGGCUAAAAUCAAAGAGUGCCUCUUCAAUAUUUCAAAUGAAGGUAGCUUUUAGAAGCCUUAAGGGUCAUUUAAGAUUAAAAUUACAAGAUUUUGUAUUUUAGAAUCAUGCACGACUCUUUAACAAAACGAAAUUGCAGGUACGUCGUGGUGUGUCACACGGGUCAGGUAUGUCCCAAAUUUUUUAUCAACUUUCAGUUCUGUGAUGACCUGAUUGUCUCUCUACAAUCAGUCAGCCAACCCACACAAUGUAGUCCGUCGUACUGUUUGCACCAACAGAACACACACACACUGUUUGUAUGGUUUACUGUUUGGAACAAGUGAUUUGCAAGCACACAAAGGGACAACACAUGAAUUUACAGGCAAACGUCCAACCUUUUAUUGCACUCUCAAUAAACUAGAAAAUUCGCUCAAAGACUUACAAAACUCAACUCUUUAGCCUACAAGUUUGAUGUCUCUACACUAGACUUCCCUCAUCUACCAUUUGUGCUCCCAGCACUGGCUAUUUAUAGCCUAAUACGGUGCUGCCAACAAAGGGGUGGCAGUUCCCCAAAACUGUCUAUGACUGAUAACCGCCAACAGGUGUCAUCAAGCUCUUAGCCACGCUGUAAGACCCCGAAAUUUUUUAAAUAAAAAAGAAUUUCCUUUAUUUAUUAUUUUGAAAUAGUAAGGGUGGAUUUGAUUAAUGUGGUUAGUUAUGGGUAAAAUACGCAAAUAUUUCGAAUAAGCAAGUGGUUAUAAAAUAUUCAUUAUUGUCGGAGAAUAUUCGUUUGGUCGUGGAAUAUUCGUACUGUCGGGGAAUAUUCAUACGACGGCGCAGCCAUGUGUGGGCCCCAUAACGGAAAGCGAUUGGAGGAAGAAAACGACAAAUAUAAGUUGUUUAAAAAUAACGGCGUAGUUGUUACCGUUUACACUGUUGGAAUACCCGGUGGUUAAAACACAGUAAUACGCGUUGUUGCACAGUAGCACACGGUAUUGCACCAAUUAUUGAUUCUUACGUAAGAAGGCACUACUCAAUAAUGGUUACAGUAAUUACUGUUCAGUAUUUUAUUUUAUUGAUUCAAUAAUUGCUGCGUUGAUAUUUUAUAUUGCUGUUGUUUCAAUAAUUGUCAUUACACAGUAUUUUUCAUUAUCGAAGCAAUAAUUCAUAUUAUCUGAAUAAUAUUAUUAGAUAACAUUAUUGGCAAUGUCUAGAAAGUUCUGUCUAAGGAGAGGUUUGGUCACCUAAUUGCGCGCCAGUAAGGAGAAAUUCUUAUUGGAAAGCCCCCUCUUUCCUGGGAACUGCCUGGUUGUCAAUAUUGUGAUUCUGUAAUAUUAUUUGUGAAUAAUUAAUUAUUGAUUCAUAUGAUGAGGAAAAUAUUGAUUUUAUGUGGAUAUAGAUGGAGAAAAUUUUUAAUGUGACAAUUGUUGAAAAUUGAAAUUUUAUCUUUUUCUGAUAAAAUAAUUCAUAUAUAUAUAUAUAUUAUUAUAUUUUAAUAAUAUAAUAAUGGUGAUAUUUUUACAACGAAUGUGGGAUAUAUGAGUAUACGAGGAGGAAGAGUAUUUUUGUUGCAAUAAAUGUUUAAAACAUGUUAAACAUGUCGGUGGACCCCAUUUAUUGACUGAAAUUUGAUUAUAGCCUGUAAAAUCGCCCGUUUGUGGAUUUCGGUCAAUUUCUGUUUGGAAUUUGGAAAAACUUUCUUCUGCAAAGUUGUAGAGAAUUGAAUUUCCUAUAAAAACUCGCGAGAUUCGAAUUUUCUGAUAAAAGGGCUAUUUAUUAUGAAUUAUUGAAGUUCCGAAGCUCCGAAAUAAUUGAUUUUUGGAAGUUUAAAUUAUUUUAAAUUAGAAAAACGUUUUUUUUAUUUUUUUCUAGAAGGUUGGCAUGUGUGAAUUGCUGAGAUUAAGAUUUCAAGGAAUACGUAUAAUAUUUUUAUAUAUAUUAAUAUUUUAUUAAAUUUUCUGCUUUGGUGUUCUAAGCAUUUUCCUAUAAAUAGGGUGCUUAGGUUAGAAUUGAAAAUCACACCAGAAACUGAAGUUUUCUCUCUCUAUAUUAUCGAGCGUAUUCUUGUGAGUAUUUUGAGUAUACUUUGAGUAUUGCUAUACGGUGAAAGUUCAAGUUAUAGCCUAUAUCCAGUAUUCCAGUUAGAAGUACUGAUCUUUCGAGGUAAGGGAUAUUUUUUUUUUUCGUAAUGAUAUUAUUUCUUCAAUAUCAUUAUGCUGAAAUAUUGAUCUGAAGUUUUUAUCAAAUUUGGAACUUUUGGUGUCGGAGUUACUAUUCACGUAUACGGCACUAUUCACGUAUACGGUACUAUUCACGAAUACGGCACUAUUCAUCGAAAAAUGAAAAUUUUUCUUUUCGUCCAAAAUAUCUAUUGUGGAUACUAGCUUUGAUUGUAUCCAUGUUUUGAUCAUUCUUGAAUUUUACACCACUAUGAUUAUUUUUGAGGUAUUUUUGGACAUGGAUAAAACAAAGUACGAAUCCUUAAUCCUUAAUCCUUGUCAUUUUGUUUCACUGGAUUCGUUUCUUUAAAAAUAUUUUUCAUCAUCCUCAGUCUUAAAUGAUGAUAUUAUUGAAUAUCUUUGGCCUGUAGUGCAAAGAUGAAUGAUUUCUGAUGAAUAUCUUUGGCCUGUAGUGCAAAGAUGAAUGAUUUCUGAUGAAUAUCUUUGGCCCGUAGUGCAAAGAUGAACAGGUGUUUAGAUGAACAUGACCAACUGAUGAAUAUCUUUGGCCUGUAGUGCAAAGAUGAAUAUUUGAUUCCAGAUAUAUAUUGAUUGAUGUUACAGGGAUAAAGAUAGACGAUGAACUUUUAAAUUCAUACAUAGAAGAUAGUAGUUUGCAUUCUCUACUUAACUCUUCUAAUGAAUUAUUAUUUCCGCUGCGAAUAUUGAUUUAAAACUUGUUGUCUAUUGUAUUCUAUUAGAUUUUUCCCUGUUGAAGACUAACGAUAAUUUGUUGUAUAUUAUCUUAGUCAUAAUAUUCUUUACUGGGCUAGUUGAGCUCACCCUUUUCCUUUUUGUUCCAUUUUUCUUCUCAGGAGGCGAGAAUGUAGCGAGUACGAGUCGGGGUAUGGAAUGAUGGUUAUAGAGAGAGUUGUUUAGUAGUCCUCACCAUUUUUGUAAAAUAAUGUAUAAAUAAUUGUGAUGAGGAUUUAUUUGGGUAUGUAUAUUGUCUAGAAGACAAUAAUUGUAUUUAAACUCACAGUAUAUAUGUUGUCGUAUUUUGCACGACAAAUGUAUUAAUAAAGUUGUAGUUAUUUCUGUACCAUGUAUUUGGCGACUCAGAAUGGGUUGGAUGGAAUGGACCUAUUUUGGGGGCGUCACACACGCAUCCUUGGGUUCCAGCUCAUGCAAUCUUAUGUCGCCCUUAACUGCUGCCAUGUCAGCUUACCCACCACAGGUAACUGCCUCAACUGCUGUCUAGCACCUUGCCCACUACUUGGUAACUGCCCACAACUGCCUUGCAUGAUCUCUCAGAUGCUGCCCACUUGCUGACACGCUUGUCCCUCAUGCUUGCACCCCAACUGCUCCUUGACCCAGUCCAAGUCGUAGCAUAAGCCAACUGUGCACGCCAGCCUGAUUCGUUAGCCUACACGUGCAUCCGCCUUGCAUUCUGUUCCGCUCAGCAUGACUAGCACUAUCUUCUGCAAUGCCCAACACCUUCUGUUGUCACGCAGCCCAACGCCUCGCGUUGUUUGGCACCCCUCGUAGCCCAACAUGUGAUGUUGCCUUUGCCACCAAUUUAGUUUAGCCCCGCCUCAUCUGAACUCAUGCACUAUUUUGGCACGCUAGGCUCCGCCUAUGCCAUGCCCACGUUUAGCCCACCUCAUGUGUCACCAAUAAACCUGGCAAACGGGCGGGCCCGACCCAAACGGGCCAAACGAGUGGCGGGUCGGGCCGAAAAGGCCCGAUUUUUUCUGGGCCAAAAAUCUUCAGCCCAAAGCCCGGCCCGUGGCGGGCGGGUCAGGCUGGCCCACUAGCCGAAAGCACUUUUGUGCCUAUUUUUUUGUUAUUUUUUGGGUUUGGCCCAAAUGGGCCGGGCCAAAAACGGGCGGGCCAAAUAGGCCCGGAAUUUACUGGGCUACAAAACUGCCGCCUGAAGCCCGGCCCAGCCCGCGGGCUUGGAUCUCUUUUGCCAGGUCUAGUCACCAAGCCACUUGUCCGUUAGUCCUUGGUCUUAAGCCAACCGUAUACUAAGCCCAACCUUGACAUUGCUUUGACAUGCCCACGCCUUGUCAUGCCCAACGUUCGCCCAGCAACGUUCUUGCUCGAUUAUGGCCCGCUCAUGAACGAGUCUUUGAUUCGAUCCAAAGUCACAAUCUGAUGUUAAACAUUGUUGUAAGGGAGCCUAACAAUGUCCCAACGUCCAACACGCCUCGCCCAUAACACCUGUCCAUGGCCCCGGGUGACCUUCACGGAGCACCCCUCCUUAUAAUAACACUUAUGAAAAUUUUCAAAGUGUUAGCACUAGACAUCAGACAUGUCUGAGGAAGCAUAAUGCAAACCCUCUAAAUUUGCUAGUUUUCUAACAUAGCCUAUUUGCUGCCCAAUGACCCAACUUGCUGCCUAGUGUCGCCCACUGCUGCACAACGCUGCUCAUUGCUGCCCAAAAGACCAAGUGUCAAAGCUUGUUUGCCGACUUCGUGCGUCCAGCGCCCUUGUCUGCCACACACUGCCGACUAAGUGCGCACAUCGCCCUUAGCUGCCGCACAGUGCAACUCACUGCUGCUCGCAUGCGCCUUGUCCCACAAGUGAGUGUCAAGACUUAGCUUGGCAUGCUAUCUGGGUGUCCCGCAUGCUAAAUUCGUGUCAACCCAUUAAAGGGCUAACAUGGUGGGUGAACGUGAAUAUAUAUGUGAGACGCAUAUAUUAUUAUUAUUAUUUUAAUUAUUAUAAUAAUAAUUAUUAUUAUUAUUAUUAUUGUAAUAAUACAGUGUAUUCUCCUUUUUGGUCACUGUAUUAUUACAAUAAUUAUUAUUAUUAUUUAAAAUUUUAAUUAUUAUUAUUAUUUUAAUUAUUCAAAAUUUAUUAUUAUUAUUAUUAUUAUUACAAUUAUUAUUAUUAUUACAAUUGCACCAAAAACGAUGCUAGGUGAUUUAAAUAUUAAUGUUACAUGAAUUUUAGCAUAAUUGGUAAUUGGUCCAAUGACUUUUGUUAAAAUAUAAGAUUUUUAGUUUGAAGAGUUCUCAGGUUCAAUACUUGUGAGCAACUUUUUCUUUAAGAAAAUUUUUAAUCCUCCGCGUCAGUCCACGUCAGCAAAAAUAACGGGACACGUCAGCAAAAAUAACGGCUAAUAUGCACAAUCAGCAUUCCGUCCGUUUUUUGGACGAAAAUUAAAAAUAAUGAUCAUUUUGUAAUUUUUGAGAGUACAGUUAUUCGAUUGUAACAAAAAAAAAUUCAAUAACCACAAUACAUAUCGGACCCUAGUACAGUUACCAAAAAGUCUAUUAUCCCACCUAAGAUCCUUAUAUAUAUAUAUAUAUAUAUAUAUAUAUAUAUAUAUAUAUAUAUAUAUAUAUAUAUAUAACGCAGAAAAAACGUUGUGAUUUCAGUCAGAAAAACGUCGUGGUUAAAAGUGUUAUCUAUUUGACACUCUUACACAACGUUUUUAAAAUGUUGUAGUUAAGCACAUUACACAACGUUUUUAAGAAAAAAACGUUAUAAAUUUGUUUUUCAUAAAUUAACAGAUGCUUAAAAACGUUGUAGAAAGUAUGAUGAUUCCACAACGUUUUCUGGAUAAAAACGUUGUAGUUUAAUAUAUCAGACAACAUUUUUAACCAAUUUAUACAAUAUUUUUAAAAUGUUGUAGAUAAAGAAAAAAAAAGAAAAAAAAUGUUGUGAUUCACCUAUAUUACCAAUGCACCUGCAAUACCAUGAUAUAUAGCUAAAAGGUCUAAAUUCUCAUUUAAAUUUAAAACCAAAAUGUAUCAAACAUUCAAAAUACAUCCCAAUAAUACAUGAAUACAUGGGGACAUAAGAAUACAGAGAACCUAAAACUGGAUUGUAACACACAUGGAAUUGUGACAGUUACUCUUUAGUCACAGGUAGUAAACUAGCUACUAGCAAAUGCAUGAUGCAUGAUUUAUGAUCUGCAUGUGACACCCAUGUUGAUGAUUAAUAGACAUGUUUGACAAAAACAGCAGAAGCCAGAUGAUGCAAAGCCAAGUCAAUCACACACUUCAGCGCCGGCAGAAAUCCUUCCAAAAAGAUUUGCAGUCUGCAUAUGUUUCACAAAAUAUUAGUUUGAAAAGUAGCACCACAACAAGGUUAGCAAUAGUAUGCUUAUCAGAAGCAGCUGUAAUAUAGACAAUUCUUGUCAAAGACACUAGCAUUAAAUUAUACUCCAUGUGCUGACACCAACCAUAUAUAUGUGGCAGCAACCAAGGCAGGUUACAAAUACAUGUUUACUUCAGGCAUUAAUAUUUGCCAAUAAUGUGAAAGCAGGCUGGAAGAGAAAAUACAUUAGCAUUAAGUAUAUAAUAAAAUCAACAAGAUAUCAAAUCAAAUAUUAUAUGCAAUGCAGAUGAUACAUAGAAAAAUUAAAACUAAAACUGAAACAUAUGGCACCAAAUGACCAGAGACUUGGGCAUAAUACAUAAUCUACUGUGAAAACAUACUGUGAAAUCUACUUUUUGAUUUCACAGUAUAUUUUGUCUCUGGUAUAAUCCACCAUAAAAAAAUAUUGUACUCCAAAACUAAUGUUACUUGUCAGAUCCUAAAAGAAGCAUUCUUCAAUUAGUUAAAAGACAAGCCUUUCGAAGUUCAUGAUUAGUGCCAUACUGAGAAACAAAAUAUGAAUGUACCUUCCCCACCCCACCCUCAAAGGCUGAGAUUGAGUUAACAAGUAUUGCAUUCAUAUUUAUUUAAUUUUGGAGAAACACUCCUAUAUGACAAUAGUGACAUAAAUACUCACUUCCCCUGCGUUUUCAGCAUCUUGUCGUUCCUUGAACAUUUCUGAAUCAAAUUGUGGCAACUGCAUCAGAAAUUCCUCAGCCGAUGCAAUCUUCUGAAAAGAUAAUAAAGAAAAAGAAUAAUAGCAUCAAAGCAUACAAUAAGAUAUCCAUGGUAUUUGUAUAGUACAGGAUGCGAUAUUAGAAUUUAAGAUCUCAAUAUUGAUCCAAUUUAGCAUAUAGAAUACCAUACUUCGAAAUUUUUAUUAGAUUUAGCUAUUUUCAAAAUAUAAUCAUACUAGAUAUACAUUCACUGAUAAAAACUCAUACUAUUACUACUUCCGCCUGGAGAAUGAAAUCUACUAAUUUUUUUACUUUUGUUUUCUCAAGGAAUAUGAAGGUUUGUAUUGAUCGUAGCCGGUGAACUAUGCGAGCUGGUAAGGUGCAUGGGACAGAGGACAUUUAGCAAUAAUGAAAGGAAAUUGCUAGCUUAAGUAUAACUUUUUUUAAAAUAUAAAUUUUAGUUGCUAAUAAUAUUUUUAAAAAAUUAGAAAAUGUCCAAGUGUGUCAAAUGCAAACCUCGAUAUACUUUUCUUUUUCAAAAGAAAACAACAACAGAACUGUUGGAUUCCUUCCAAUGGAGGGAAGGAGGAGGGAGUAUUAGAUAGCAACAUAUCCUUGUGGACUAAUAUUUACACCUUUCAAUAUAACUAAUACAGUCAUUUCCAUCGAAUACUGGAUCAUUAGAAGCAAAUAAUAUUCUCACCCUUAAUGGUUCUGGAACAAGGCUCUGAACAGGGAUAUAAGAAAGUUCCAGCUUUAAUCCAGAUUCUCUAGCAAGAAUAAUCACCAGCAAUAUUAUAAAUUUAUGUAUUAGCUCAUAAAUAUUUCAAUGCAUUUUCAUAAAGUGCAGUACAUAUAAUUUGUAGCCACAAAGAGAUAGCUGGCAUUUGUUGAUGGUUGGGUGUUCAAAUCCAAGUCACCCUUAAUAACAGAUAGCUGCGGUUACAAUGAAACAACUGCCUCUUGCCAAGGGUAAAGUGAGGGCAUUGGUAAGCUGACUUACUGAAGAAAUAAGAUUAUCUAAAGUUGGUGCCUUUUCCCCACAGUUGGCAAACAGAGGAGGCAUACAUAAGAUAGAAUAACGAAAGUGCAUGAAACAAAAUAAACAACUGAUACCUUUCUAGCCACAUCUGUUCCAGAUACAUAUGACAUGUAUUAUACUGUGAAAACAUACUGUGAAAUCUACUUUUUGAUGAGCCUAACUAGGGUAUAAUCAACAUACUGUGAAUUCCAUCCUAGUUGUUAACAUAACAUAAGGUACAUUCUAUGAUUUCUAUCCAACCAAGUCCAAUUCAUGGAACAUAUCACACAGGUACCAUGUUUCAUGCAGGGUAUAACAGAGACACAAAAGCAAGCUUGUAUGUAAGACAUGUUAAAGAGCACACGAAAUGGAGCUGCUAUCAUACCAUGAUACUAGACAAGUCUAGUCGAGAUAAGGACUAGUAUAAGUGAUAAUCAGCCUCAGAAAACUAAGCAAGUCUUAGGCUUACCUCUUUUACACAACUACAAAACAGUAAAUAGAUAACGCGGAAUAAACAAAAGAAUACCUCCAAGUUGUCCAAUGUAAUCUUCAAACAGCUCACUCCCAAAAAGUAUAGCAAAAAUAGCAGCAGGAUCAAUGAUCGCCUCACUGAAAAGAAGAGAAAUUAUGCAUAUCUAUAUAAGAUUAAAUUUUCGCUUAACUAAGUAACUGAAUAAAAAAAUUCCAUGUACAGUUUGAAUAUAUACUACUUGAGGACCCUAAUUCCCUAAGACUAUAAAUUUUAAUCAUUUUGAAUUGGAAAAAGAAGAAAAAAAAAAAAACUGACGUUGAGAUUCCUGAUUUCCCAUAAGCAUCAUAGGCUUGCCUUUGUGCGGGAUCACUCAGCACUUGAUAAGCCCUUGCUUCUCUAUCCUUAUUCAUAGGCAUGCCUUUGUGCGGGAUCACUCAGCACUUGAUAAGCCCUUGCUUCUCUAUCAGUCAUCAGUGUAAAUAUAACACUAAGCAGGAAGCCAACAUUAAUAAUGCUUCUCUAUAAAUUAUAUAACUAAACAAAUUCAUACGUUGUCAACUAAAAAAUAUGGCGUUGGAGGACAGUAGUAAAUUACUUUGUUCAAAUCAUGAAGAAAAUAGGUUUAAGUAAAACCACAUUUUACAAAAGCAACACUCCAAGUAAUCAAAUUCCUAUGUUCUAACCAUAUAAUCAAAUCUACAUAUCCAAAUUACUCUUGAAAAAGCAUUUAUAAGUCGUAUAAGAUUUAGACUAAAAUUACUGAAGCUUCAAUUGGCUGAGACCUGAUACUAGAUAAAAUAAAAAAAUAAAAACAUAGAGUUUUUAUAACUAUAUUCCUUAAAUGUGCUGUCAAAUAAUAAAUUCAACCUGUCUAGACCCAACCCGCAAAAACCUAAACCAAGCAUAUAUUAAACACCAAUGAACUGCAGAAAGGUGAUCUUUUUUCAGGACAAUAAAGCAGCUAAACAUAAUCAAAAUCAAGCAUAUACAAAAAACUCAUGAACCCCAGAAAGAUGAGUAUUUUAACAAUAAAGCAGCUAAAGAAGACAUCAAGGUCAAUAAAGCUAUUAAGAAUCAACUUGCUAAAAAAGAAACAGAAACAAUUUUAUAAUCUCACACUGUCACACAAAUUUCCAAAAGUAUCAUACCCCUAAAUCAAAACUUAACCAGGAACCCAAAAUUAACACAAACAUCACCCAAAAAAAAAAAGGAAAAACCUUUUUCACACCCUGAAAUUUGAUACCAAAAUUCGCAGUCAAAUGUCAAAAAAAGGUCAUUACCCAAAUCCAAAAAAGCCAAAAAUAGACCAGAAUUCAUCUAACCGGAAGUAAAUACACAUAAUUAAAUACAGAUGAUAUAUACCUGCUUUGUGAUACAUCAUAGAUCUGACCCUUAAUCGCCAUGAGCAAAGGCUUCUUGGGAUCAGCGCCGUCAUAUGACCUUUGAAUUGAGAUUACGCAACUGCCGAACAGCUUGAGGAGAUCCAUCCAUGAAAACCAACGGACUAGAUAGCCCUACUCUAAUAUCCACCCGGUUAAGUUCGAUUUCAGUCAAAUUUAAUACCUGAAAUAUGAUGGUCAGCAACUGGAAUCUUUACAAAAAAUAUACAAAAGAUUAGCAAUUAAUUUAAAAUUCCCUUACAAAAGAUCUUAAGCAGCGGUAUAAGGGUUGCUGCAAAAUCAAAGAGUAACCGAUGAAGAAGAAGAAGAGAGAAAAGAGGAGAGAGAAAAUGAUGGGCAAAAGAUUCCAUGAUAUAGUACCAGUAAGUAUAAGGGUUGCAGCGGUAUCUCCUCCGACCGAAUGCAAAACCAGCUUCCAAAGACCAGAUUUCAACUGCCAAAACCCCUAAAGCCAGUAGAAUCAUCAAGAUCCGAGCCCUCCAAAUCCGAAGCCCCAAGGAUUUCAACUGUCAAAAUCCCUAAAAUCAGCAGAAUCUGAGGAGCCUCUCUCUCUAACUUUCGCUACUUCGAACCCUCGAGGAUGCACUUCCAGUCACUGAGUCACGUUUUUUUUAAUUUUAAGUUUUAGUUUGAACGCGUUUUUUGCUCCGUGUUUUUCACGUACAAAACGUUUUAAAAAAAAACGUAAUCUAUUUAAAACUAAAAAAAUAUCCUUUUAAAUACAUAACGUUUUUACAUAUAUAUCUAGGGAAAAGGGUCAAAAAAACCCUCGAUGUUUAUCCCGAUGUCUCACUUGCACCCUAAAUUAAUUUUUUUUCCAAAAAUACCCUUAACGUUAUAUUUUUGGGUCGCUUGCGCCCCUGCCGUUAACAGAAUACAAACGGUGUUAAAAUCUGAUGACGUGGCAGGCUUAAUUAUAAAAUAUAUUUUAAAUAAAACAAUAUAUAUCAUUUAAUCAAAACAAAAAAUGCUAAAAUUCAAAAUAAAAAAAAGCAUAACAUAUUUACAAAAAAAUUUUAAAACAGAUUUGUUUAAAAAAAACAUAAUUUUUAAAAAUAUAUUUUUUUUUUUAAAACGGAACUUUUUUAAAAGCAUUUUUUUAAAAAAAAAAUAUAGAAUUUUUUAAAAAUAGCUUUUAAAAAAACAGAAUUUUUUAAAAACAAUUUUUUUAAAAAAAAACAUAAUUUUUAAAAAAAUAGAAUUUUUUUAAAAACAAACUUUUUUAAAAAAAUGAAAGCAAAUUUUUUUAAAAAAAAUAGAAUUUGCUUAAAAACAACUUUUUUUAGAAAACGAAAACAGAUUUUUUUUUACAAAAAUAGAUUUUUUUUUAAAACAAACUUUAAAAAAAACGGAUCUUUUUUAAAAACAGUUUUUUUUAAAAAAAUAGAAUUUUUAAAAACAGCUUUUUGAAAAAAAAUAGAAUUUUUUUAGUAUUUUUAGUAUUAUUUUUUAAUUAGUAUUUUAAAAUUAUUUUUUAAUUAGUAUUUUAGUACUAAAAUACUAAUUAAAAAAAUACUAAAAUACUAAAAAAAAUCAAAUUAAAAAAAUACUAAAAUACUAACAUUCUGUUUUUUAAAAAAAUUCUAUUUUUUAAAAAAGACUUUUUUUUAAAAAUUCUAUUAUACUAAAAUUCUGUUUUUUUUAAAAAAAAAACUGUUUUUAAAAGAGUUCCCUUUUUUUUAAAAAAAAUAUUUUUUAAAAAAAUCUAAUUUUUAAAAAAAAUCUGCUUUAAAAAAAGUUACGUUUUUUUAAAAAAGUUUGUUUUUAAAAAAAUUCUAUUUUUUAAAAAAAUCUGUUUUUUAAAAAAUCUUUUUUUUUAAAAAUAAUUUGUUUUUCAAAAAUUCUGUUUUUUUUUAAAAAAAUUGUUUUUAAAAAUUCUAUUUUUUUUUAAAAAAAACUGUUUUUAAAAAAGUUUCGUUUUUUUUAAAGUUUUUUUUAAAAAAAAUCUGUUUUCGUUUUCUAAAAAAAGGUUGUUUUUAAGCAAAUUCUAUUUUUUUUUAAAAAAUCUGCUUUCAUUUUUUUAAAAGAGUUUGUUUUUAAAAAAAUCUAUUUUUUUAAAAAAAAAUUGUUUUUAAAAAAUUCUGUUUUUUUUAAAAGCUAUUUUUAAAAAAUUCUAUAUAUUUUUUAAAAAACUGCUUUUAAAAAAGUUCCGUUUUUUGUAAAAAGUUUGUUUUUUAAAAAAUUCUAUUUUUUUAAAAAUUAUGUUUUUUUUAAACAAAUAUGUUUUAAAAAUUUUUUGUAAAUAUGUUAUGCUUUUUUUUAUUUUGAAUUUUAGCAUUUUUUGUUUUGAUUAAAUGAUAUAUAUUGUUUUAUUUAAAAUAUAUUUUAUAAUUAAGCCUGCCACGUCAUCAGAUUUUAACACCGUUUGUAUUCUGUUAACGGCAGAGGCACAGGCGACCCAAAAAUGUAACGUUAAGGGUACUUUUGGAAAAAAAAAAUUAGUUUAGGGUGCAAGUGGGACAUCGGGGUAAACAUCAGGGGCUUUUUUGACCAUUUUCCCUAUAUAUCUACAACGUUUUAUUUAAAAACGUUGUGGAAAAAAAUACCACAACAUUUUUUAUAGCAUUCCGUCCGUUUUUUUGGAUAAAAAUUAAAAAUAAUGAUCAUUUUAUAAUUUUUGAGAGUACAGUUAUUCGAUUGUAACAAAAAAAAGUUUCGGUAACCAUAAUGAAUAUCGGACCCUAGUAUAGUUAUCAAAAAGUCUAUUAUCCACCUAAGAUCCUUAUUAUAUAUAUAUAUAUAUAUAUAUAGCUCGGCUCUCUCCAACGAUCUAGAGGGAGCAAACUAAGAGCGAACCGGCUAUAACGACGGUUUUUUCCGUCGCUAUAGCAUAAAAAACCGGCUUUCUAUGCUAUUGCGACGAAAAAAAUCGUCGCUAUAGCCGGUUCAUUCUUAGUUCGCUCCUUACAGUUCGCUGGAGAAGCAGACUGUAUAUAUAUAUAUAUAUAUAUAUAGUGAGCAAAUAGGAGUGUGUAAGUGAGAUCUCAAUGGACUGAAAGCAAUCAGACAAAGCUACAUACAUGAUCUGUCAUAAUGCUUUCUUAGAUCAGAUCUUGCACCAUCUGAUCUGAAUCAUCUGGUCCAAUUAAGUGAGAAGUGAAUGAGAGGGCUUUAAGGGUUGGGGUUCACAUCACUAAGAUCAUCUUAUUCUCAAUACUAGAUCAAUUUGUGUCAUUUUUCUUCCUAUAUAAUUUGAGCACAACAAGUGACAAAGAUAAUAAAAAGUAUAUAAAAACACAGUGGGUGGGGGUGGGGGUGGGGGGUACUUUCCUCAAGCUUGGUCAAAAAUAGCUUAUUUAACUACCUUAGGGGGGAGUGGGGACCAAAACCCCACUUAUGCUCUCUUUUUUUUGGUGGGCAUUGUUGUUCUAGACUAACCUAUUCUCAUUUGCUUAUGCUUAUGCUUAUAUGGAAACAAAUUGAAGGGGGUUGAGUUGAGUCCAUUCAACAUAUAACUUAACCUUUUUUUUAGGCCAUGAUUGUCUUCACAUGGAUUCCAACUAAAAUGUUUUUUUUUUAAUUUGUUUUUCUAAUGGUUUUCCUUUUAGUUUUAUGGGACUCAUCUCAACUUGAAGAAUUAAGCUUAAUAAUUAAUCUCUCUCAUUUUUUUUGUGAUGUUGGUUUAAGGAAGCCAAGGGACACCAACCAAAUUGGUCUCCACAUGGGGAUGGGGGUGUGCAUCAAAAAUAAUAAGUCAAAAUNNNNNNNNNNNNNNNNNNNNNNNNNNNNNNNNNNNNNNNNNNNNNNNNNNNNNNNNNNNNNNNNNNNNNNNNNNNNNNNNNNNNNNNNNNNNNNNNNNNNUAUAUAUAUAUAUAUAUAUAUAUAUAUAUAUAUAUAUAUAUAUAUAUAUAUAUAUAUAUAUAUAUAUAUAUAUAGGGGAAAAUGGGUAUGCACAGUUGAAUAAGAUUUAGUUUGUCCUAAUCUUGAUGACUUUUGAGUUUUUGACGACCAGUGCUUCGAAAAUCCAGAGGCUUGGUGCUGAAUAGGUUUCUCAGUAUAAGCUAUUGCAGGACGAGGGCAGGACCUACACAAGAUAUUAUGUGAAACAGAAACAGAAUCUGAUUGGUGUUUAUCUUUCCAAAACUCCCCUCCUGAGAAAGCAAAAGCAUAAAACAGAAUUAACCAUUAAUGAAUUCACAGAUGAUAUUAUGUGAAACAGAAACAGAAUCCGAUUGGUGUUCCAGUUACAAAAAUUUCAAAAUCAAAAUACAAAAUAGCUAAGAGAAGAGCAUGGGCGGAAAAACAAAUCGAUGUAAUUAGGAAAAAUUAGGAAAAAUCACAAAGAAAAGGGACUAAUUUGGGAAUAAAACUAAUUAAACUGGUUCACCAAUGAAAAAAUCAUCGAAGAGAGAUGAAGAACUAGUUCCAAAUAAACCCUAAAUUUCUUAAAUUUAUAAAAUUAAUACAUUCGAAGAGAGAGAAGGUUACGAACCAGAGAGAGAGAAGCAUAGGCCGGAUAUUCCUUUUGCCGAUCGAUUUGGCUGGAAACAACAGGUGAAAAAGGGAGGAUGAUGCUCUCAUGCCGAUCGAUUUGGGAGAAGCCCUUAGGCGACUGUGAAGAAGGAAGAGAAGCCUUAAGCUGUGUUUUUUUUUUAACUCCAAAACAACGUCGUUUUGGAUACUGUGUAAAAAAAAAAGAGCACAGCUGUGCAUACCCAUUUUUCCCAUAUAUAUAUAUAUAUAUAUAUAUAUAUAUAUAUAUGAUUAACCCACAUGUUUAUUAUAUCUAGACAAUAAACUAUGUGAUUAUAUCCACCGAAUCGACCGUUCGCCAGUUUAGAUCCAAUAACCAACAGUUUUCUAUGCAUUAAAUAAUGCACUUGGUAUGAAAAAUAAACUGUCUGUGAGGCUAUUCCUGAAAUUCCAGCUCUUUUUUAAAUUUUCCUUCUAUUUUAAGUGUUUUUACAUAACAUAAUUUUAGUAUGUUUUCUAUUUUAUAUGAGAAUUGAUUGAUUAUUGUAAUUUCACAACAAAAGUGUAAGUUUAUUGACAUUGAAUUCGUAUUUGCUUAGGAGAAUUCAUGGACUUAUAUUAUAUCCCCAAACUGGGGCACAAGAAAAAGUAAAAUUUUUUGCACCUUUGUUAAAUAAAUAAAUAACCGUAGAAAUAAUUUAGGAUAUUGAUAUUGUUCAAGCAAAAAUUAUACUACAAAAAUAAAAAUACAAUUUAACCGCAGUUUUACAAUCACUUCAGACUUUAAGCUACACUUGUUACUCAAUUUGAAGAUGUUUUUGACUAAUCAAUUGAAUCCUCUUAGCAUUAGACCACAAAUGUAAAUUUUGGAAAUGUUGGUGCUAAAGGAAUUUAUUUGCAUCUUCAAUAUUUCAAGUUCUACUCCAUAGGAAUAAAUCCCCUAGCAGUAACCAAACAGCUCUAACAGUAGGCAUGGUUUUUUUACACAAAGUAGCUAG
rnacentral:lncRNA from 1 species